rnacentral:rRNA from 1 species
UACGAAGGGUGCAAGCGUUAAUCGGAAUUACUGGGCGUAAAGGGUGCGUAGGCGGUUGUUUAAGUCUGUCGUGAAAUCCCCGGGCUCAACUUGGGAAUUGCAGUGGAUACUGGCAGGCUGGAGUACGGUAGAGGAAGGUGGAAUUCCCGGUGUAGCAGUGAAAUGCGUAGAGAUCGGGAGGAACACCAGUGGCGAGGGCGGCCUUCUGGACCAGUACUGACGCUCAUGCACGAAAGCGUGGGGAGCAAACAGG